ensembl:misc_RNA Metazoa_SRP Metazoan signal recognition particle RNA
GACAGGCACCAUGGUGCAUGCCUGUAGUCCCAGUUACUCUCGAGGCUGAGGUGGAAGGAUCGCUUGAGCCCAGGAGUUCUGGGCUAUAGUGCGAUAUGCCGAUAGGGUGUCUGCACUAAGUUCAGCAUUAAUAUGGUGACCUCCUGGGAACGGGGGACCACCAGGUUACCUAAGGAGGGGUGAACUGGCCCAGGUCAGAAAUGGAGCAGGUCAAAACUCCUGUGCUAAUCAGUAGUGGGAUUGUGCCUGUGAAUAGCCACUGCACUCCAUCCUGGGCAACAUAGGGUGACCCUCUCUCUA